GGGCCGUUAGCUCAGUUGGUAGAGCAACUGACUUUUAAUCAGUAGGUCGCUGGUUCGAUCCCAGCACGGCUCACCA
rnacentral:tRNA from 1 species